rnacentral:tRNA from 1 species
GUCCCCAUCGUCUAGAGGCCCAGGACCCCGCCCUUUCAAGGCGGUAACCGGGGUUCGAAUCCCCGUGGGGACGCCA